AGGUGAUAGUUUAAGUUAGAUGGGUCUCUGUCGUCCAGAUGAAGGAGAGCAGCCAUCCAGACUGUUAGGUAGACAGGUGUAGUUAAUAGUUAGAUGUGGUCUGUCUCUGUCCCAGAUGACGGAGAGAGCCCAUCCAACUCGGGUAGACAGGGUAGUGUUAGAUGUGGUCUCUGUCUGUCCAGAUGAAGGAGAGCAGCCAUCCAGACUGUUAGGUAGACAGGUGUAGUUAAUAGUUAGAUGUGGUCUCUGUCGUGUCCAGGAUAGGAGAGGAGCAUACAGACUGUGUAAGUAGACAGGUGUAGUACAUAGUUAGAUGUGGUCUCUGUCUGUCCAGUGAUGAAGGAGGAGACCAUCCAGACUGUUUUAGGUAGAGACAGGUGUUGUUUAAU
rnacentral:lncRNA from 1 species